CAGCAGCCGCGGGAAUACAGAGGGUGCAAGCGUUAAUCGGAUUUACUGGGCGUAAAGGGCGCGUAGGUGGUUAUUUAAGUGAGAUGUGAAAGCCCCGGGCUUAACCUGGGAACUGCAUCUUAUACUGGGUAACUGGAGUGCAGUAGAGGGUAGUGGAAUUUCCGGUGUAGCGGUGAAAUGCGUAGAUAUCGGAAGGAACACCAGUGGCGAAGGCGGCUACCUGGACUGAGACUGACACUGAGGCGCGAGAGCGUGGGGAGCAAACAGGAUUAGAUACCCCCGUAGUCCCUGUCUCUUAUAC
rnacentral:rRNA from 1 species